GGAUCAUUACUGAGUGAGGGCCCUCCGGCCCGACCUCCAACCCCAUGUUAUCCGACCACUGUUGCCUCGGGGGCGACCCGGCCUUCGGGCGUCGGGGCCCCCGGUGGACCCCUAACUCUGCAUCUCUGCGUCUGAGUGGAUUAUUGAAUCAAUCAAAACUUUCAACAACGGAUCUCUUGGUUCUGGCAUCGAUGAAGAACGCAGCGAAAUGCGAUAAGUAAUGUGAAUUGCAGAAUUCAGUGAAUCAUCGAAUCUUUGAACGCACAUUGCGCCCCCUGGUAUUCCGGGGGGCAUGCCUGUUCGAGCGUCAUUACACCACUCAAGCCUGGCUUGGUAUUGGGCCGUCGCGGGUCAAACCGCGUGCCCUAAUGUCGUUCGGCUGGACCGCCCGUCUCUAAGCGUUGUGGCUACAAACUAUCCGCUUGUGAGCACGGGGGGGAACCCGGCCGUUAAACCUCCAUCAAAGGUUGACCUC
rnacentral:rRNA from 1 species